rnacentral:rRNA from 1 species
CCUACGGGGGGCAGCAGUGAGGAAUAUUGGGCAAUGGAGGCAACUCUGACCCAGCCAUGCCGCGUGUAUGAAGAAGGCCUUCGGGUUGUAAAGUACUUUCAGCGGGGAGGAAGGGAGUAAAGUUAAUACCUUUGCUCAUUGACGUUACCCGCAGAAGAAGCACCGGCUAACUCCGUGCCAGCAGCCGCGGUAAUACGGAGGGUGCAAGCGUUAAUCGGAAUUACUGGGCGUAAAGCGCACGCAGGCGGUUUGUUAAGUCUGAUGUGAAAUCCCCGGGCUCAACCUGGGAACUGCAUCUGAUACUG